GACGAACGCUGGCGGCGUGCCUAAUACAUGCAAGUCGAACGCUGGAGGAGGAGCUUGCUUCCCUGGAUGUUUUGCGCACGGGUGAGUAACGCGUAGGUAACCUGCCUGGUAGCGGGGGAUAACUAUUGGAGACGCUAGCUCAUACCGCGUAUGAUUAGAUGUUCCAUGGCAUUUGCUUAAAAGGUGCAAUUGCAUCACUACCAGAUGAUCCUGCGUUGUAUUAGCUAGUUGGUGGGGGAAUGGCUCAUCAAGGCGACGAUACUUAAUCGACCUCCGAGGGGGAUCGGCCACACUGGGACUGAGACACGGCCCAGACUCCUACGGGAGGCAGCAGUAGGGAAACUUCGGCAAUGGACGGAAGUCUGACCGAGCAACGCCGCGUGAGUGAAGAAGGUUUUCGGAUCGUAAAGAUCUGUUGUAAGAGAAGAACGAGUGUGAGAGUGGAAAGUUCACACUGUGACGGUAUCUUACCAGAAAGGGACGGCUAACUACGUG
rnacentral:rRNA from 1 species